rnacentral:rRNA from 1 species
UACGUAGGGGGCAAGCGUUGUCCGGAAUCAUUGGGCGUAAAGCGCGCGUAGGCGGCCCGGUAAGUCCGCUGUAAAAGUCCAGGGCUCAACCCUGGAAAGCCGGUGGAUACUGUCGGGCUAGAGUCCGGAAGAGGCGAGUGGAAUUCCUGGUGUAGCGGUGAAAUGCGUAGAUAUCGGGAGGAACACCUGUGGCGAAAGCGGCGCACUGGACCAUAACUGACGCUGAUGCGCGAAAGCUAGGGGAGCAAACAGG